rnacentral:rRNA from 1 species
CGCGUGUACUGGUCCGGCCGGGCCUUUCCCUCUGUGGAACCCCAUGCCCUUCACUGGGUGUGGCGGGGAAACAGGACUUUUACUGUGAAAAAAUUAGAGUGCUCCAGGCAGGCCUAUGCUCGAAUACAUUAGCAUGGAAUAAUAGAAUAGGACGUGUGGUUCUAUUUUGUUGGUUUCUAGGACCGCCGUAAUGAUUAAUAGGGACAGUCGGGGGCAUCAGUAUUCAAUUGUCAGAGGUGAAAUUCUUGGAUUUAUUGAAGACUAACUACUGCGAGAGCAUUUGCCAAGGAUGUUUUCAUUAAUCAGGAACGAAAGUUAGGGGAUCGAAGACGAUCAGAUACCGUCGUAGUCUUAACCAUAAACUAUGCCGACUAGGGAUCGGACGGUGUUAUUUUUUGACCCGUUCGGCACCUUACGAGAAAUCAAAGUGCUUGGGCUCCAGGGGGAGUAUGGUCGCAAGGCUGAAACUUAAAGAAAUUGACGGAAGGGCACCACCAGGGGUGGAGCCUGCGGCUUAAUUUGACUCAACACGGGGAAACUCACCAGGUCCAGACACAAUGAGGAUUGACAGAUUGAGAGCUCUUUCUUGAUUUUGUGGGUGGUGGUGCAUGGCCGUUCUUAGUUGGUGGAGUGAUUUGUCUGCUUAAUUGCGAUAACGAACGAGACCUUAACCUGCUAAAUAGCCCGUAUUGCUUUGGCAGUACGCUGGCUUCUUAGAGGGACUAUCGG